rnacentral:rRNA from 1 species
CCUACGGGUGGCAGCAGUGAGGAAUAUUGGUCAAUGGGCGCGAGCCUGAACCAGCCAAGUCGCGUGAGGGAGGACGGCCCUACGGGUUGUAAACCUCUUUUGCCGGGGAGCAACGGGCGUCACGUGUGGCGCCACUGAGAGUACCCGGAGAAAAAGCAUCGGCUAACUCCGUGCCAGCAGCCGCGGUAAUACGGAGGAUGCGAGCGUUAUCCGGAUUUAUUGGGUUUAAAGGGUGCGUAGGCUGUGAGGUAAGUCAGCGGUGAAAUGCCCCCGCUCAACGGGGUGAAGUGCCAUUGAUACUGCCUUGCUGGAAUGCGGAUGCCGUGGGAGGAAUGUGUGGUGUAGCGGUGAAAUGCAUAGAUAUCACACAGAACACCGAUUGCGAAGGCAUCUCACGAAUCCGCGAUUGACGCUGAUGCACGAAAGCGUGGGUAUCAAACAGGAUUAGAUACCCCUGUAGUC